rnacentral:lncRNA from 1 species
UUGUAAUAGGCCAAUUUAGCCCGGGUCCAAACAGAAACAGAAAUAAAAAAAAAAUUUCAAACCCAAUGACAAAGUCCAAAAUACAACAGUCCAAUUACAAACAAACCCAUUAUGUUACAAGCCAAAAUGGCCCAAAUAACACAAACCCUAAGGCCUAACAGCCUAAACUAUUUUCGGAAAAAAAGAAAAAAAAACCCUAGUGUCGCACCCUAGCCUGCGCCGUCGCCAUACCCUAGUGCUUGUCACCAUCAACUGCUCUGGCACCGUCAACCACCACCUGCAAGGACAAC